CACGGGGGGAGCAAGCGUUGUUCGGAAUCACUGGGCGUAAAGGGCGUGUAGGCGGUUCGGUAAGUGGAAUGUGAAAUGCUCCGGCUCACCCGGAGUACUGCAUCCCAAACUGCCGAGCUUGAGUAUGGGAGAGGAUGAGGGAAUUCCUGGUGUAGCGGUGAAAAUGCGUAGAUAUCAGGAGGAACACCGGUGGCGAAGGCGCUCAUCUGGCCCCAAUACUGACGCUGAGGCGCGAAAGCUAGGGGGAGCAAACGGGG
rnacentral:rRNA from 1 species